rnacentral:tRNA from 1 species
UCAUUAGCAGUCCAGUGGUUACAAUUCUGCACUUCUACUGCAGUGGCGCAGGUUCAGUUCCUGACUGGGGAA